AUUAUGCUGGGGACUUCCCUGGUGGUGCAGUGGAUAAGACUCUGUGCUCCCCAUGCAGGGGCCCAGGUUCGAUCCCUGGUCAGGGAACUAGAUCCCACAUGCAUGCUGCAGCUAAGAAGCCCGUGUGCCACAACUAGGAAGCUGGCGAGCCACAACUAAGGAACCCUGGAACCGCAAUUAAGGAGCCCUCAUCAUUUCAAAUUUUAUUUUUAGUUACCCAAAGAUUUAUUUUAAGACAUUUAUUCUGAUCAAUUUUUUUAAAUCAUAAAACUCAUAUAAAAAGGAAAGUCUCUUCUAUCAGUUCUUCAUCUUCGCAUUGACAGUCCUUAGACCUUGGGUGUUCCCCUGAGUUUGUCACUCAUUUUAAUACAUCUGUCAUUAUUACUGUCUGAGUAUUCAUAAAUACCACCGUGUAUAUGGAACACCUGUUACGGUACAGGUACUUAUUACUUUUGUAAUGUUCUCAUCUAACCCUUGCAGCAGCCCUUUAGGUUUAGGGUAAGUGUUAUUAGUAUACUUUACAGUUCAGGAAACUGGGGCUCAGGAAAGUUAAGUUGCUUAUAAUCACAGAGCAGUUAAAGUGAUGGAGAUCCCUGACCUCAGAGCAAGUGUCCUGAGUACCAUAAGUGGUUCAUAUAUGCAGGCUGUGGGUCUCAGGCAUUUGUGGAGAUUAAAGAAAUAAAUGCAUGGGAGAGAUCUACUCUCAAAUAUACAGUCAAUCUAGAAAGGAACAUCUAUAAUUUUUUAAAGGCGUGUGAUUAAAUGUGUGAUUCUAAUUUUCAUACCUUUCAGAACCAGUGUAUGCUGUGCUACCAAAUAAAUGCUCACUUUUGUCAUUUUCUUAUUAAUAAGUUUGCUGAUAUUCUUUGACUCCUGUCAAUUUUCAUAUUGUUAUUAUUGUAGAAUCAAUAGAAUUUAUAAUUGGGUCUUCACUUUAAGGUGGGAAAUAAACGCAGUAGUACCGAGAAUGUUGCAUAUCCAUUCUCUCCAUCUGUAUGUUGAACCUAAACCACAACAGGUUUACUGUGCUCAUGCGCACUAGCCAUGAGCAGAGUCAUCUACAUUAGAAUUCCAGUCAGUCUUUGUUUUUUUUUUUUUCCGAAGUCUUAAUAGUCGUCCACCUUGAACCUUUAAAGUAUAUUUUAAAAACUGCACAUAUAAUAAGAAUGAUAGAGUUUUAUUAUGACCCUAAGGAAGUUAUUUCAGCUUUUUGUUUCCACACAAGCAUUUAAAGUUUUCGUUUCAAACUAAACAAUGAAAAGUUUGUACUGUUUACUUAUGUUUAAAAAAAUGAUUGAACAGAUCCCAGGCAGCUCAGACAGGGCAGGUAGAAGGCUCCAAGGGCUGACAUUAGGAAAACUAAUCCAAGUGCUUAGAAAACUUGAUGUAGCCAUGCCAUACAGGAAUGUGUACUGUACAGUUGUAGGUAGAGCUCUGGGUAGACCAGAGUACAAGUCUUUUCUGAAGUUUUCAGGAUAUCUGGGAUUUGAAUUCAUGCCUUGUAUUUGUUUUCGUAUGUAAUAGGUUGAGUAUGUAAGAAGCAGUGUUCAUAAAAGCUGGCAAACCUGUUUUACUUGUUUCUCAAUCUUUUCAGAUCAUUGCUUAUAAAACACUGACAUUUACAGUAAAUAUUUUGUUUUAAAUACAGGCUAACACUAUCAAACCGUGUGUCCUUGCGCUGCACUCAUUUAAUGACCUCGCCCUUUGGUAAGUUGGCAUGUGGUUUGAGGUGGCUUUCGGUGAUGGAGAGUUUGAAGGAGUUAAAGGGAAAAGCAGGAAGAGAAUAACAUUUUCAGGGAAAUGUGAUCAUACAAUGGACAGGCCCUUGAGAGAAUAAGAGAUUAUCUCUAUCUUUAUUAUGUGACCUUUGGCUAAUUCCUGAAGCAUACUCACUUCAUAUGCCUUGUAUGUAAAUGAUAACAUUACAGUUUUUUAUAAGUCCCUUUAUCUCUGUGACUCCAGUGAUCUGUUUUAUUGUGUGUUUGCGUAUGUCAGUAGCUCACAAUAUUUAGCAGAUUGAGUUCUAGGUCAAACCACCUGGAUUCAUCUAUAAAAUGGGGUUACCUAUCUCCUAAAUUGCAGUGAUAAUUUAAUUAGAUAAUCCAGAUAAUCACUUAGCACACUAUCUGGCAAAUACUAAGCCCUCAGGAGAUAACUCACUCUUCAAAACUCAGUUCAAAUGUCUUAAUAUUACCUGGAUCUUGGACCUUCCAGGUAAAAGGGAGGGAGGGUUCUUAUCUUUGUGUCAUAAAUAUGUCUUUUACUAUCUUCUAGUUUAGCACUAUCACUGGUACUAAAAUUAUCACUAAUUUAUUUACAUGUGUAUUUCUCCUCUUAAAUUGUGAGCCCCUUGAAGACAGAAACAAGUUUAUCUUUAUAAAUUCAGUGUCUGACAUGAUAAAUUUUGUUGAAAGAAGAAAAUUUUAUUCUUGUUUUUCUUUUAUUUUUAUUAUUAUUAUUAUUAUUAUUAUUUAAUUGCGGCAUGCAGGAUCUAGUUCCCGGACCAGGGAUCGAACCCCGGCCCCCUCCAUUGGGAGCGCAGACUCUUAACCACUGGGCCACCAGAAAAGAUUUGAAGCUCAGAGAAGCCACAUUUUGCCCAAGAUGAAAGAGCUAGCAAGAACAAGGGCUGCAACUGUCUAGCUAAUACAGGAGUGACCAGGUCCCCUGCCAGGGAGAACAAGAAGGCCCAUGUGGACUUUGCUGGCUCUAGUGUGCAGAGAGCUUCCAGGCAAGAACAGGCAGGGAGCUCAGGCUGGAACAGCUGGACAAGGACGGAGUCAGCAGCCUGUGCUACGCGUGCAGCCUCCAGGAAACUGAGAUGCAAGCAACAUUAGGCUGGAGGAACGAAGAUCAUGACAAGUGAUAUCUUACAGGGAGCCUCAGUAUAGAGGUCAAUGUGGGCAGAACUGCUGAUGUUGGAGGGUUUCAGGGGACCUGGAGGCCAGCCCAGGCCAAUCCAGCUCUAUGGAGCAGUGGAAAAGCCAUCACUCUCAAAUAAUCACUCGAGUCCACUUGCAGCAAAGUUUGUAAAACAAAGGAUGUUGAUACAUUCCCCCAAAGCCAUGGACCCAGAUAAAAACUCCUGUUUUCCAGUCCGGACAUUGGAAGAUGACGAUGAAGUUGAUAUAUGAAGAAGCACAAAUUGGACAGCUGACCCUAAUAAAUCAUAGAGGAGGAACAGGUGACAAGCACACACUCGUACCCACGUGACUGUACUUCUCCCAGCUCGCUCCAGCACAGGACAAGCGGCAGGUGUGGCUCACCGCCCCUGUGGCAAGCCGCUGACACGAAUGUUCAUAUCUUUGGAACUGUACAGUAUGUAGCCUGUUCAGACAGGCCUCUUUCACUUUGGAAAUAUGCAAUUAAGUUUCCUCCACGUAACUCCCGAUUUUUAACUACUGAAAAUAAAUUGAAAUAGUCACAAAAUA